CGCUGGCGGCGGGGGGCGGCGGCGGCCGGAGCGGGCCGGGGCUCCCGCCGCCGGGGCGGGCGCGCUCGGGCGGCGGGAGCAGGCGGAGCGCCGCCGGGAGCGCACACCGGCGCCCUGCAGGACCGACUGGAAUGGGGCCUGAAUGGCGCCAAGAUGGGAGAGACCCCGAGCUGGGUCACGGGCGCUGCUGCCUCGGCCGAGAGGCCGGGCGGUGCUCGAGCAGGAGCGUCUGUCGUGGGUGCUCGUGCCGGUGCCUUCAUCCUCUGCCGGGGCUGCACGGACCGCCCCGCGCAUCCUUCCGCUGAAGGGAGCCAGAGCUGGGAACUGGCUCCGUCCUUCUGCACAGCCACAGCAGGAGUUUUCCCAGAAGUAGCCAGAAAGCUCCGGUAUUGCGGUGAGCUCCCAAUGCAAGAGCAGGGCUGCCGAGCUGCCACUGCAGCGUAAAAUGCUAAAUCACGGCUCUGAGUAGUGGCCAUGACUGAUCCCUUGGCACCCUCGCCCGCGGGCAGCCUGCGGAGCCCAGGGGAGGCAAGACUGGGCUGUGGUAGAGCAAACUGCACAAGCGCCCGAACCUCCCCCCAUCCCGCCCCGGUGCAACUCCCGGCCCGUUCGCGGGUGCCGUGAGCCCGGUGGCAGCCGGUGCGCCCCUGGAGAAAGGCAGGAGCCGUGCUUGCUGAAGCACUAAUCGCCUUUUUAGGGGUCUCAGCAGCCCCUCCGGCCCCACCGCGCGGUACCAGCAUCUCCUGUUGGACCGCCCCUGCUCCCGAGCCGGGGUUUGGCGGCAGGACGGUGCUGUCCCGCCCGCAGACCCGCUGGCCGCAGUGUACACGAGAUGGCGUGCCCUGGAAAUGACCGCGCCGGAGCCUCGCUACCUCCCUGAGCAGGGCCAGACAGCCCUUGCCAGGGUAGGACGGUCGGACUCACUCCGCUGGAAGCAUCGCCCAGCCGGAGGAAGUAGAGAGCAUCAGGAGAAAGGGAGAAACGGCACCUCUGGUUCGAGGGGGUUUCCAGAAGUGGAAGAAAGAUGUGAAGCCUUCAUGCAAGACCAGAAUUCCUCCCACCUGCUCAACACACUCUCUCAAGCCACUUCGCUGUGUCACACCAAAUUCCCAGGUCCUUUCCUGCCAGAACUGGAUGCACUUCCUGACAGAAGUAUGCUACUGCAUCUUUGCUUGCCUAUGCAAAGGAAUGGCAGGAUUUACUGUGAAACGAGGUGCAGGCAUGGCCUGACCACGGCAAAGCAGAUGGCAGAUGGCACUGCAGGAGCCACCACUGCUAACAACAGUUGCAGAGGGGCAGAUGGAGCAUGGGAGAUGCUGAAAAGGAAAACCAGUAGCAGGAGGUGGGAGAAGACAAGUAAACCAACAUGGAAAGCUGGCUAGAAACAGUUUGUUUGUUAGGAACAAGAUGGAAAAUUGCAUUGCAAGGAAAUAAACCACAUCUGAGCCGGAUGCCUGCAUCUCAGAAAAGCAACAAGGAGGAUGAUAGCUCCCAAAAGGAAACAGUGGUUGAUCUCUUUGCAGGGAAUGUGACAGAGGAGGGCAAAGGAAAGGCAACACUGAGCCAGAGUGCUGCUGCUCUUUUCUGACAGUUCACCUCCAGCUUCUGAGCCCAUCCACUUUGCUCUUUCACAAAAGAGACCUGGCAAAUGCUCAUUGUGCAGGAAGCUUCAGAGAGGUGAGGUUGCAGUGCCUUGGCAAGUGUGUCAGGAUGGAGACUCUCUACUUUUUUUAUUUUGUGGGUGAACAGCCCUGUGCAACCCUGAAGGGCAAUGGCAAAAUGCUUUGCUGGCUGAUGAGGUAGGAAAAGGGAAAAUAUGUCACUGCUUCAGAAGGAUCUAAAACCAGAGCUCCCCUUCAGCUUCCUUCCCCUCUCCAGGUGCCAGUGCCUGCAUAGAAGACAAGGGCAGUGGUGACUGGAAGACAUCUCCAGCAGAAUCCAGGGGAUAAGCAGCACCAAACCAAAAUCAUCAAGCAUAUAUCUCAUUUUGAAAAAAUUCGAAAAUAUUUUUUCCAUUUAGGAUUUAGCCCUCUUUACUUCAAAGCCAGAAGAGGGGACUCAAAACCAGCAUCAUGCUCCAAGUACUGCUAAUAUAAUGAUCCCUAGCAGCUGCCAUGCAGGAUUCUCCACUUGUAUUUGUUUUGCUUCUUUUGUGACAUUUAAUCAAAGUCUUGCUAUCCUAAAUAUUAAUUAAAGUGCUUGGAGACAAGGCCUAAAUUUCAUUUUGCCUCCCAAGUUCACCAGCUUCAUCCUCCUCCUCCUCCUCCUCCUCCUCCUCCAAAUAUGUUUUGCUAUAAAUUACUGGCACUGUUUCUGUUGAUAGUCAACAUAAUCAAACAUUUGUAAGCAUGCUGUCUCUUCAAUCUGUUCAGUUGAUGCACUUUACCUGAUCUUUCAUUAAAGUAAUCAAAACACUUGCUGUGCCACGUCUAAUGAAUGUUGCAUGUAUGAUUAAGUACUUUCAUUCAUAUUGCAAGUUUGAUUUAAUGUAAUCUGCCUUUCAGACAGCCAUUAGCCUAGCUCCUGCGUGAAUUCGAUUAAUUGGCUGAAUUCUUCCAGAUGUCCUUUAAGUAUUACAGGAAUUUCUAUGUAAAAACAGCAGGGACCAUCUAACAGAGAAGCAAACAAUGAUACGUUAUAUUGCUGCCAUGACUUACAAAAAGCUGGAUUCAUUUUCAUUAAUAAAACAUCUGUACUGCUGCACAGCUAUGCAUCAAGAUGCAUUUAUUUUAUAUGUUUAUUUCUCUUAUGACUAUAAAUAGACAGUUAAACAGAAGCACGGUAUGUUCAGUUGGAAGAUACACAAACAACUGUAAUAUCAGAGUUAGGACUUACAAAACAAGUAUCAUGUGUUGUAGCAAACAUGGCAGCAGCUUCUAUUGAUAUCUUAGGAUAAAGGCAUUUUUCUUAGAGCAUGAUGAAUUUGAAAGCAAUUGGUUCCUGGGUUGAAAUAUCCUAUGGCUUAUGUUUAUAUGGCUCAUUGUACCUUUAAGUGGGAGGAAAAAAUGCAGUUUGGCAUUUUUAAAUAGUAUGCAGUAAAGAGAAAAAGCAUUAUUAAAAUAAAC
ensembl:lncRNA